rnacentral:rRNA from 1 species
UACGGAGGAGGCAAGCGUUAUCCGGAAUUAUUGGGCGUAAAGCGUCCGUAGGCGGUUCACCAAGUCUGCUGUCAAAGGGUGGGGCUUAACCUCAUAAAGGCAGUGGAAACUGGUGAGCUAGAGUGCGGUAGGGGUAAGGGGAAUUCCCAGUGUAGCGGUGAAAUGCGUAGAGAUUAGGAAGAACAUCGGUGGCGACAGCGCCUUACUGGGCCUGCACUGACACUGAUGGACGAUAGCUAGGGGAGCGAAAGGG